rnacentral:rRNA from 1 species
AUGUUACUAAACCAUGACGAACCUACGAACUGUGAAGAAGCGAUGGUGAGCCUAGAUUCCGCAAAAUGGCUUGAGGCCAUGAAAUCUGAGAUGGGAUCCAUGUGUGAGAACAAAGUGUGGACUUUGGUUGACUUGCCCGAUGAUCGGCAAGCCAUAGAAAAUAAAUGGAUCUUCAAGAGGAAGACGGACGCUGAUAGUAGUGUUACUAUCUACAAAGCUAGACUUGUCGGAAAAAGGUUUUUGACAAAGUUCAAGGUGUUGACUACGAUGAGAUUUUCUCGCUCGCAGCGAUGCUUAAGUCUGUCCGAACCAUGUUAG